rnacentral:rRNA from 1 species
ACGCACGCUGGCGGCGUGCUUCACCCCUGCAAGUCGCACGGAAAGGCCCUGCUUUUGUGGGGUGCUCGAGUGGCGAACGGGUGAGUAACACGUGAGUAACCUGCCCUUGACUUUGGGAUAACUUCAGGAAACUGGGGCUAAUACCGGAUAGGAGCUCCUGCUGCAUGGUGGGGGUUGGAAAGUUUCGGCGGUUGGGGAUGGACUCGCGGCUUAUCAGCUUGUUGGUGGGGUAGUGGCUUACCAAGGCUUUGACGGGUAGCCGGCCUGAGAGGGUGACCGGCCACAUUGGGACUGAGAUACGGCCCAGACUCCUACGGGAGGCCGCAGUGGGGAAUAUUGCACAAUGGGCGGAAGCCUGAUGCAGCAACGCCGCGUGCGGGAUGACGGCCUUCGGGUUGUAAACCGCUUUCGCCUGUGACGAAGCGUGAGUGACGGUAAUGGGUAAAGAAGCACCGGCUAACUACGUG